rnacentral:misc_RNA from 1 species
CCAGCCAUUUCUUCAAAGCCAAACACUGCUUGCCCUGUAAGGGCAAAAUAUUCAACUUUUGAAGGUCUAGAAUCCAAUUCCAUUGCUUUUACGUCUUCUUCCUCAAGAAAUCAAACCUUUCGUGUUCUUGUAUUUAGUUUUUCCCAAAAAUCAAACCUUUCCCUUUACAAAACCAUAACCCACCUCUUUUCUUUCACUUUCCAAGUCUCCAAGCCAAUUGCAUUUCAUUUUUCUUUCUCAGUUGUCACGUAUACAGUUGUCUGUCGAUCUUCUGCAAUCACAAUCAGGGUCUUUUUCUUCUCCCUCUUUCGUGAAUAUAUAGUCAUAUUUGAGUGAUAUCUGAAAUGAACAACGGCGAAGCAGAG